UGGGGAAUUUUGGACAAUGGGGGCAACCCUGAUCCAGCCAUGCCGCGUGAGUGACGAAGGUCUUCGGAUUGUAAAACUCUUUUGGCGGGGACGAUAAUGACGGUACCCGCAGAAUAAGCCCCGGCUAACUUCGUGCCAGCAGCCGCGGUAAUACGAAGGGGGCUAGCGUUGUUCGGAAUCACUGGGCGUAAAGCGCACGUAGGCGGAUGUGCCAGUCAGGGGUGAAAUCCCGGAGCUCAACUCCGGAACUGCCUCUGAUACAGCGCGUCUUGAGUUCGAGAGAGGUGGGUGGAAUUCCUAGUGUAGAGGUGAAAUUCGUAGAUAUUAGGAAGAACACCGGUGGCGAAGGCGGCCCACUGGCUCGAUACUGACGCUGAGGUGCGAAAGCGUGGGGAGCAAACAGGAUUAGAUACCCUUGUAGUCCCUGAGCGGGCUGGCAAG
rnacentral:rRNA from 1 species